rnacentral:rRNA from 1 species
UACGUAGGCAGCAAGCGUUGUUCGGAGUUACUGGGCGUAAAGAGUGUGUAGGCGGUUCUCUAAGGUUGGUGUGAAAUCUCCCGGCUUAACUGGGAGGGUGCGCCGAAAACUGGAGGGCUCGAGUAUGGGAGAGGAAAGCGGAAUUCCUGGUGUAGCGGUGAAAUGCGUAGAUAUCAGGAGGAACACCUGUGGUGUAGACGGCUUUCUGGACCAUCACUGACGCUGAGACACGAAAGCGUGGGGAGCAAACAGG